GCGGCGAUAGCUCAAUGGGUAAAGCGCCAGGUGAGAAGACGGCGAUUACUCGGAAAGCUGUUAUCUGCGCGGGUUCAAACCCGCUUGUGGCA
rnacentral:tRNA from 1 species